rnacentral:rRNA from 1 species
CAAUACAGAUUGAUGGCGACCGGCGCACGGGUGAGUAACGCGUAUGCAACUUACCUAUCAGAGGGGGAUAGCCCGGCGAAAGUCGGAUUAAUACCCCAUAAAACAGGGGUCCCGCAUGGGAAUAUUUGUUAAAGAUUCAUCGCUGAUAGAUAGGCAUGCGUUCCAUUAGGCAGUUGGCGGGGUAACGGCCCACCAAACCGACGAUGGAUAGGGGUUCUGAGAGGAAGGUCCCCCACAUUGGUACUGAGACACGGACCAAACUCCUACGGGAGGCAGCAGUGAGGAAUAUUGGUCAAUGGCCGAGAGGCUGAACCAGCCAAGUCGCGUGAAGGAAGAAGGAUCUAUGGUUUGUAAACUUCUUUUAUAGGGGAAUAAAGUGGAGGACGUGUCCUUUUUUGUAUGUACCCUAUGAAUAAGCAUCGGCUAACUCCGUGCCAGCAGCCGCGGUAAUACGGAGGAUGCGAGCGUUAUCCGGAUUUAUUGGGUUUAAAGGGUGCGUAGGUGGUGAUUUAAGUCAGCGGUGAAAGUUUGUGGCUCAACCAUAAAAUUGCCGUUGAAACUGGGUUACUUGAGUGUGUUUGAGGUAGGCGGAAUGCGUGGUGUAGCGGUGAAAUGCAUAGAUAUCACGCAGAACUCCGAUUGCGAAGGCAGCUUACUAAACCAUAACUGACACUGAAGCACGAAA